AACGCUGGCGGCGUGUUUAACACAUGCAAGUCGAACGAAGGCUUCGGCCUUAGUGGCGGACGGGUGAGUAACGCGUGGGAAUCUACCUAGCGGCGGGGAAUAACAGUUGGAAACGACUGCUAAUACCGCAUACGCCCUUCGGGGGAAAGGCUUCGGCCACCGCUUGAGGAUCCCGCGUCCGAUUAGCUAGUUGGUAGGGUAAUGGCCUACCAAGGCGACGAUCGGUAGCUGGUCUGAGAGGAUGAUCAGCCACACUGGGACUGAGACACGGCCCAGACUCC
rnacentral:rRNA from 2 species